ensembl:lncRNA
AAUAAAGUGAGAAAAGAUAAAUGCUGGGCUCUUUUGAUUUCUAAUAUUGGCAGUUAAAAUAUACGAAACUCGACCUACUUUAUAAUCCUCUCUCUCUCUCUCUCUCUGUCUCUCUCUCUGUCUCUCUCUCUCCAUAUAUACAUAUUAUUCUCUAAAACUCUUCUCUCACAAAUCAUACCAACACAGUAAACAGACAUUUGUGUACGCAGACACAAACAAGCGAGCAGGAUCGUGUACCUCUGUCAGUUUUAAUUGGACCGAUGCUUUUGUGCUUCUGUUUAUAACGAACCCUUCCUCACUUAACCGAUUCUUCCUUGCCUCUGCAACCAACCUACAGGAUCGAACUCAGCAUUGUUUUUUUUUUUUUUUGCUCCAAUUAAGCGUCAGCUGUUGACUGUCUUCAGCUACUCAUGUCACUUCAGCUAAGCAUGAGCUCAUCCAGAUAAUCACCAAUCAUGUUUCAGAGUGGAAUCAAUGUGGGCUUUUUCUUUACUGUCAAUGUAUUGUUAUUGUGAGCCGUUCUUAUGAGCAGUGGGAUUUUGUUUAUCUGUUUUGGCUUUUAGUUCUACCUAUUGCAACAUUUGUUUGAUGUGUCCUCCAUCAUUUCGGCUUUUUUCUUUUAUUAUUUUUUUGUUCUGUUAUUAUUUUUCUUUCACAUUAGCACUUAUGGAUGUCAGUGCUUGUAUAACAAUCCACCAAUUAGGUCCAGACUGGACUAUCUCUACAACCAUUGUAUGAUCAAGACAUUUAGUAUGCGUACCUGCAGGAGGAAUCCAGCUGAUUUUAGUGACCUUUCACUAAUAGCAGCUUUCUUUUGGGUCAGACUCUUCAUUUAUCCUGUUAUAGAGGCUAUUUUAACAACUAUUGAAUAAAAUUGUUUAAAAUUUGCUGCAAAAACCCUCUAGAGCAGGGUUUGUCAAACUCUAUUGGCCCUGAUGUAAAACUGUGUUACAUCAGACUCUCUUUGAGCAAACCUUUGGCCAUGGUGUGAAGGAAAAGGUGAUUUUUAACUGGAAGAGAAAUCCAUCAGAACCAUCCGUCCAUCAUGGAGUGUGUAACCAAGUGGGGAGUAAAAGGAAUGAGGAGACUGAAAAGAGGAGCACGGAGAGAGUACGAAACACAAACUAUGGGAGCGAGAAGGCAACACGCAGUAGAACAACACGCGGCAUAUAAACACAUGGGAAAUGAAAGUAGGGGAGUGAAAUAGAGC